rnacentral:rRNA from 1 species
CAUCUUCGGGGGUAGAGCACUGUUUCGGCUAGGGGGCCAUCCCGGCUUACCAACCCGAUGCAAACUACGAAUACCGAAGAAUGGUAGCACGGGAGACACACGGCGGGUGCUAACGUCCGUCGUGAAGAGGGAAACAACCCAGACCGCCAGCUAAGGUCCCAAAGUCAUGGUUAAGUGGGAAACGAUGUGGGAAGGCCCAGACAGCCAGGAUGUUGGCUUAGAAGCAGCCAUCAUUUAAAGAAAGCGUAAUAGCUCACUGGUCGAGUCGGCCUGCGCGGAAGAUGUAACGGGGCUAAACCAUGCACCGAAGCUGCGGCAGCGACACUAUGUGUUGUUGGGUAGGGGAGCGUUCUGUAAGCCUGUGAAGGUGUGCUGUGAGGCAUGCUGGAGGUAUCAGAAGUGCGAAUGCUGACAUAAGUAACGAUAAAGCGGGUGAAAAGCCCGCUCGCCGGAAGACCAAGGGUUCCUGUCCAACGUUAAUCGGGGCAGGGUGAGUCGACCCCUAAGGCGAGGCCGAAAGGCGUAGUCGAUGGGAAACAGGUUAAUAUUCCUGUACUCGGUGUUACUGCGAAGGGGGGACGGAGAAGGCUAUGUUAGCCGGGCGACGGUUGUCCCGGUUUAAGCAUGUAGGCGGAGGUUCCAGGUAAAUCCGGUUCCUUAUUAACGCUGAGGUGUGAUGACGAGGCACUACGGUGCUGAAGUAACAAAUGCCCUGCUUCCAGGAAAAGCCUCUAAGCAUCAGGUAACAUCAAAUCGUACCCCAAACCGACACAGGUGGUCAGGUAGAGAAUACCAAGGCGCUUGAGAGAACUCGGGUGAAGGAACUAGGCAAAAUGGUGCCGUAACUUCGGGAGAAGGCACGCUGACAUGUAGGUGAAGCCCCUGCGGGUGGAGCUGAAGUCAGUCGAAGAUACCAGCUGGCUGCAACUGUUUAUUAAAAACACAGCACUGUGCAAACACGAAAGUGGACGUAUACGGUGUGACGCCUGCCCGGUGCCGGAAGGUUAAUUGAUGGGGUUAUCGCAAGAGAAGCUCCUGAUCGAAGCCCCGGUAAACGGCGGCCGUAACUAUAACGGUCCUAAGGUAGCGAAAUUCCUUGUCGGGUAAGUUCCGACCUGCACGAAUGGCGUAAUGAUGGCCAGGCUGUCUCCACCCGAGACUCAGUGAAAUUGAACUCGCUGUGAAGAUGCAGUGUACCCGCGGCAAGACGGAAAGACCCCGUGAACCUUUACUAUAGCUUGACACUGAACAUUGAGCCUUGAUGUGUAGGAUAGGUGGGAGGCUUUGAAGCGUGGACGCCAGUCUGCGUGGAGCCAACCUUGAAAUACCACCCUUUAAUGUUUGAUGUUCUAACCUGGCGCCGUGAUCCGGCGUGGGGACAGUGUCUGGUGGGUAGUUUGACUGGGGCGGUCUCCUCCUAAAGCGUAACGGAGGAGCACGAAGGUCAGCUAAUCCUGGUCGGACAUCAGGAGGUUAGUGCAAAGGCAUAAGCUAGCUUGACUGCGAGAGUGACGGCUCGAGCAGGUGCGAAAGCAGGUCUUAGUGAUCCGGUGGUUCUGAAUGGAAGGGCCAUCGCUCAACGGAUAAAAGGUACUCCGGGGAUAACAGGCUGAUACCGCCCAAGAGUUCAUAUCGACG